rnacentral:rRNA from 1 species
GAUGAACGCUGGCGGCGUGCCUAAUACAUGCAAGUCGAACGGAAAGGCUCGUGCUUGCUUGGGCGGUCGAGUGGCGAACGGGUGAGUAACACGUGGGUGACCUGCCCUGCACUUGGGGAUAACUCUGGGAAACGGGAGCUAAUACCGCAUAGGACGAGGGUUUGCAUGACAUUGUGGAAAGAUUUGCCGGUGUGGGAUGAGCGCGAGGCCUAUCAGCUUGUUGGUGAGGUAAUGGCGUACCAAGGCGUCGACGGGUCGCCGGACUGAGAGGGUGAAAGGGCCCAUUGGGACUGGGAUACGACCCAGACUCCAACGGGAGGAAUCGGUGGAGAAUAGUGCGCAAUGGGCGCAAGCCGGAUAGAGCGACGCCGGGUGGUGGAUGACGGCCGUCGGGGUAGAAACUGCUUUCGAUAGGAACGUAGCGCAAGUGACGGUACCUGGAGAGGAAGCACCGGCUAACUACGUG